rfam:Gorilla gorilla gorilla genomic chromosome, chr10, whole genome shotgun sequence
GCUGGGUGUGGUGGCGCACACCUGUAAUCCCAGCUACUUGGGAGGCUGAGGCAGAAGAAUCACUUGAACCUGGGAGGUGGAGGUUGCAGUGAACCAAGAUGAUGCCACUGUACUCCAGCCUAGGUGAUAGAGUGAGAUUCCAUCUCAA